rnacentral:rRNA from 1 species
GACGAACGCUGGCGGCGUGCUUAAUACAUGCAAGUCAAUUGAACUUAGGAUAGCAAUAUUUUAAGGGAGGUGGCGCACGGGUGAGUAACACGUAGGUAAUCUGCCUUUAGGUCUGACAUAACCUACCGAAAGGUAGGCUAAAAUCAGAUGAUGCAGCGGCUCGACAUCGAGACAGUUGUUAAAUCUUCGGAGCCUAAAGAUGAGCCUGCGUCUGAUUAGGUAGUUGGCGGUGUAAUGGACCACCAAGCCUGCGAUCAGUAGCUGGUCUGAGAGGAUGAUCAGCCACACUGGAACUGAGACACGGUCCAGACUCCUACGGGAGGCAGCAGUAAGGAAUAUUGCUCAAUGGCCGAAAGGCUGAAGCAGCAACGCCGCGUGGAGGAUGAAAUACUUUGUAUGUAAACUCCUGUAAGAA